AACGAACGCUGGCGGCAUGCCUAACACAUGCAAGUCGAACGAGACCUUCGGGUCUAGUGGCGCACGGGUGCGUAACGCGUGGGAACCUGCCCUUAGGUUCGGAAUAACUCCCCGAAAGGGGUGCUAAUACCGGAUAAUGUCUUCGGACCAAAGAUUUAUCGCCUUUGGAUGGGCCCGCGUUGGAUUAGCUAGUUGGUAGGGUAAAAGCCUACCAAGGCGACGAUCCAUAGCUGGUCUGAGAGGAUGAUCAGCCACACUGGGACUGAGACACGGCCCAGACUCCUACGGAAGGAAGCGGUGGGGAAUAUGGACAAUGGGCGAAAGCCUGAUCCAGCAAUGCCGCGUGAGUGAUGAAGGCCUUAGGGUUGUAAAGCUCUUUUACCCGGGAUGAUAAUGACAGUACCGGGAGAAUAAGCUCCGGCUAACUCCGUG
rnacentral:rRNA from 1 species